rnacentral:rRNA from 1 species
UACGUAGGUGGCAAGCGUUGUCCGGAUUUACUGGGCGUAAAGGAUGCGUAGGCGGAUAUUUAAGUCAGAUGUGAAAUACCCGGGCUCAACUUGGGUGCUGCAUUUGAAACUGGAUAUCUAGAGUGUGGGAGAGGAAAAUGGAAUUCCUAGUGUAGCGGUGAAAUGCGUAGAGAUUAGGAAGAACACCAGUGGCGAAGGCGAUUUUCUGGACCAUAACUGACGCUGAGGCAUGAAAGCGUGGGGAGCAAACAGG